UACAGAGGGGGCAAGCGUUAUUCGGAAUUAUUGGGCGUAAAGAGCGUGUAGGCGGCCAGAUAGGUCCGUUGUGAAAACUCGAGGCUCAACCUCGAGACGCCGAUGGAAACCAUUUGGCUAGAGUCCGGAAGAGGAGAGUGGAAUUCCCGGUGUAGCGGUGAAAUGCGCAGAUAUCGGGAAGAACACCCGUGGCUAAGGCGGCUCUCUAGUACGGUACUGACGCUGAGACGCGAAAGCGUGGGGAGCGAACAGG
rnacentral:rRNA from 1 species